AGAGUUUGAUCCUGGCUCAGAGCGAACGCUGGCGGCAGGCCUAACACAUGCAAGUCGAACGAACUCUUCGGAGUUAGUGGCGGACGGGUGAGUAACACGUGGGAACGUGCCUUUAGGUUCGGAAUAACUCAGGGAAACUUGUGCUAAUACCGAACGUGCCCUUCGGGGGAAAGAUUUAUCGCCUUUAGAGCGGCCCGCGUCUGAUUAGCUUGUUGGUGGGGUAAUGGCCCACCAAGGCUACGAUCAGUAGCUGGUCUGAGAGGAUGACCAGCCACAUUGGGACUGAGACACGGCCCAAACUCCUACGGGAGGCAGCAGUGGGGAAUCUUGCGCAAUGGGCGAAAGCCUGACGCAGCCAUGCCGCGUGUAUGAUGAAGGUCUUAGGAUUGUAAAAUACUUUCACCGGUGAAGAUAAUGACUGUAGCCGGAGAAGAG
rnacentral:rRNA from 1 species